rnacentral:rRNA from 1 species
AUUGAACGCUGGCGGCAGGCUUAACACAUGCAAGUCGAGCGGGGUGAUGGUGCUUGCACUAUCACUUAGCGGCGGACGGGUGAGUAAUGCUUAGGAAUCUGCCUAUUAGUGGGGGACAACAUCUCGAAAGGGAUGCUAAUACCGCAUACGUCCUACGGGAGAAAGCAGGGGAUCACUUGUGACCUUGCGCUAAUAGAUGAGCCUAAGUCGGAUUAGCUAGUUGGUGGGGUAAAGGCCUACCAAGGCGACGAUCUGUAGCGGGUCUGGGAGGAUGAUCCGCCACACUGGGACUGAGACACGGCCCAGGCUCCUACGGGAGGCAGCAGUGGGGAAUAUUGGACAAUGGGGGGAACCCUGAUCCAGCCAUGCCGCGUGUGUGAAGAAGGCCUUACGGUUGUAAAGCACUUUAAGCGAGGAGGAGGCUCUUUUGGUUAAUACCCAGAAUGAGUGGACGUUACUCGCAGAAUAAGCACCGGCUAACUCUGUGCCAGCAGCCGCCGUAA